rnacentral:piRNA from 1 species
UUUAAUUGCUUCCAUUCUGUUUUUCAG